rnacentral:sRNA from 1 species
CACUCGACGACUCUGCAACUGACCCGU